UUUAAAAAUAAGAAUGUCCUCUUUCUGAGAUUGUGCAUUCACCAUGAUCAAUUGUUUCCUUAUGUUUGAAAACCACAGGUGAUGUCUGAGACCCCAUCAUGGCAGUCUUGACAAUGAAUUGGUCUGAAAUUCCCUGGCGUAUUUACCUCCAAAUGCCUAUAGAUUCUUGACGGAAGAGCCUGAGACUCCAAGACUCUGAAGGAAGAAAUGUCACCUGCUACUAAACUCCUUAAAUUACCUGGCCUGCUCUAACUUAGAGGGAUAAGAAGAGACAACUUGUUCGAAAGGUCAACCUGUUUUAAAAACAAGCCCAGACAAGGCUCAAAUGCACUGCUGCAACUUCUGUGUCGUGGGCCCUUCCUGUCCCAUGUUUCCCAAGGAAAGACAAGUCUUCCUUUCCUGGAUACAGAUCUGAGGAUUGUGGUUUCUUAUUAAAUAUCAUUUAUUUUUAUGCCAUCCAUAUAACUAUCCUUCAAAUAAAGGAGAAAUGCUAACCCAUAGGCAUCAAAGUGUCAUCAUCCUUUUCUUCAUUUUAUUCUUUUCUUUUUUUUUUUUUUUUUUUUUUUGAGACAGAGUCUUGCUCUGUCACCUAGGCUGGACUGCAGUGGCACAAUCUCGGCUCACUGCACCCUCUGCCCCCCCGGUUCAAGCAAUUCUCCUACCUCAGCCUCUUGAGUAG
rnacentral:lncRNA from 1 species